rnacentral:rRNA from 1 species
GCCAAAUGCCUCGUCAUCUAACUAGUGACGCGCAUGAAUGGAUUAAUGAGAUUCCCACUGUCCCUAUCUACUAUCUAGCGAAACCACAGCCAAGGGAGCGGGCUUGGAAUAAUCAGCGGGGAAAGAAGACCCUGUUGAGCUUGACUCUAGUCUGACGUUGUGAAAUGGCUUGGAAGGUGUAGCGUAGGUGGGAGGGCUUGCCCGAUCUUGAAACACCACCACUUUCAACGCCGUUUUACUUAUUCCGUGAAGUACAGUCCCCCUGGUGAGAGCCAGGGGGUUCUAGCAUUAACCCUGCGCUCUUUUGCGCGGGCAAUGUACUCGGGAGACAACGUCAGGUGGGGAGUUUGGCUGGGG